UACAUGUGGGGCAAGCGUUAGGCGGAAUCACUGGGCUUAAAGCGUGUGUAGGCGGGUCGUUAAGUGUCUUGUGAAAUCCCACCGCUCACCGGUGGAACGGCUGGGCAUACUGGCGACCUUGAGAGGCCUAGGGGCAGACGGAACAAGCGGUGGAGCGGUGAAAUGCGUAGAUAUCGCUUGGAACGCCGACGGCGAAAGCAGUCUGCUGGGGGCCUUCUGACGCUGAGACACGAAAGCCAGGGGAGCGAACGGA
rnacentral:rRNA from 1 species